GAGAACUUAUUCUCUACUAAUUUACUGUAAAACUGCAUUUGCUUGAUAUUAUUUCAUUAUAAGAAGUUCAAUCUAGACCUACAAUAUGUCAGGAAGGUAUGCCAACUAGGUGAUUCUUAGCUAGAGUUCAUUCCUAUGUAAUUUGAAUACCUGCUGAAGAAUACAGAUAACUUGUAUGUACCCUGAGGACGCAUUUUCAUCAUCAUGCGAUGUAUGGAAUAUUACUCUGCUUCAGGAGAUGAAAGCAAUUUCAUCUGAGCCCCUCUAGAAACAAGAGCAUCAGCUUACCUAGUCAUCUGUAGCAUCUGCAAUGGCUAUCUUUCAAUAAGCAUUCUUCAGUAUUAUUAAUUUCUGUGAGAUUUUUACCUAUUAGAUGUUUCAGAUAGAAGAUGCACUUGUAUUUCUUCCAAACUUAAGACUACACUGCAGCUCUUGUGAAUGAACCUUACCUCACUAGAUUUAAAACAGUAACAUCUUCUUGUGGGUUAGCACUGGAUAACAGUCAGACUUCCACUCCAUCAGUCAGCAGGAUGGGCAAAAAAUAGGAAAAAAAGGGAAAAAUGGAAGGUUGACAUAAAGAUGCAGAGAUCACUAAUUACUAAUUAUCAUCAUAGGCAUGACAGUCUUGACUUGGGAAAAAUUAACUUAAUUGAGCACUAAUUAAAAUAAAAUUGUAAUGACUAAUUUAAGUAGUGAGAGAGAGAAACAUUAAAACAACAUUAAAUUUCCUCAGGACUCAAGCAGUGUUGUUCUUAACAGUUCAUCUCUGUUACUCAUCCUCUUUCCUUGCAUAAGAUCUCCACAGACUGUAAAAAUAGGAAAAAAAAAUAAACUAACACAAAAAAACAACUCCCUCUCCUCAGU